UACAGAGGUCCCAAGCGUUGUUCGGAUUCAUUGGGCGUAAAGGGUGCGUAGGUGGCGUCGUAAGUCGGGUGUGAAAUCUCGGGGCUUAACUCCGAAACUGCAUUCGAUACUGCGGUGCUUGAGGACUGGAGAGGAGACUGGAAUUUACGGUGUAGCAGUGAAAUGCGUAGAGAUCGUAAGGAAGACCAGUGGCGAAGGCGGGUCUCUGGACCACAACUGACGCUGAGGCGCGAAAGCUAGGGGAGCAAACAGG
rnacentral:rRNA from 1 species